UACGGAGGGUGCAAGCGUUAUCCGGAUUUACUGGGUUUAAAGGGUGCGUAGGCGGGUCGGUAAGUCAGUGGUGAAAUCUCCGAGCUUAACUCGGAAACUGCCUUUGAUACUAUUUAUCUUGAAUAUUGUGGAGGUAAGCGGAAUAUGUCAUGUAGCGGUGAAAUGCUUAGAUAUGACAUAGAACACCUAUUGCGAAGGCAGCUUACUACGCAUAUAUUGACGCUGAGGCACGAAAGCGUGGGGAUCAAACAGG
rnacentral:rRNA from 1 species